rnacentral:rRNA from 1 species
GAUGAACGCUAGCGGCAGGCUUAAUACAUGCAAGUCGAGGGGCAGCAUGACUGUAGCAAUACAGUUGAUGGCGACCGGCAAACGGGUGCGGAACACGUACAGAACCUUCCUUCGAGCGGGGAAUAGCCCAGAGAAAUUUGGAUUAAUACCCCAUAGUACAACGGAGUGGCAUCACUUUGUUGUUAAAGAUUUAUCACUUGAAGAUGGCUGUGCGGCUGAUUAGGUAGUUGGCGGGGUAACGGCCCACCAAGCCUGCGAUCAGUAACUGGUGUGAGAGCACGACCAGUCACACGGGCACUGAGACACGGGCCCGACUCCUACGGGAGGCAGCAGUAAGGAAUAUUGGUCAAUGGAGGCAACUCUGAACCAGCCAUGCCGCGUGGAGGAUGAAGGUCCUCUGGAUUGUAAACUUCUUUUAUAUGGGACGAAAAAAGGCUUUUCUAAGUCGUCUGACGGUACCAUAUGAAUAAGCACCGGCUAACUCCGUGCC